AGCUCCAAUAGCGUAUAUUAAAGUUGUUGCGGUUAAAAACGCUCGUAGUUGGUUUUCUGUCGGGGGUGACUGGUCGUCCCAAGUGGAUAGUACCUGCUUUGCUCCUGGCAUCUUCCAAGGGAACACGUUCGCACUUCACUGUGUGGCGUGAGAGCUUGGACUUUUACUUUGAGGAAAUAAGAGUGCUUCAAGCGGGUAAUUGCCACGAAUACGUUAGCAUGGAAUAAUAGUAUUGGACCUCGGACCGAAGCUGUUGGUUGCUGGAACGAGGGGAG
rnacentral:rRNA from 1 species